UGUUUGCAACGCGAAUGUUCCCACCUGACCCCAUGCCGAACUCAGAAGUGAAACGCCGUAGCGCCGAUGGUAGUGUGGGGUCUCCCCAUGCGAGAGUAGGACACUGCCAGGCA
rnacentral:rRNA from 1 species